GGGAUGUGGCUCAGUGGGAGAGCGUUCGGUUCGCAUCCGAAAGGUCGAGGGUUCAAAUCCCUUCAUCUCC
rnacentral:tRNA from 1 species